GACGAACGCUGGCGGCGUGCUUAACACAUGCAAGUCGAACGCUGAAGCUCAGCUUGCUGGGUGGAUGAGUGGCGAACGGGUGAGUAACACGUGAGUAACCUGCCCUCUUCUUUGGGAUAACGCCCGGAAACGGGUGCUAAUACUGGAUAUUCACUGAUUCUCGCAUGGGGGUUGGUGGAAAGGUUUUUUCUGGUGGGGGAUGGGCUCGCGGCCUAUCAGCUUGUUGGUGGGGUGAUGGCCUACCAAGGCUUUGACGGGUAGCCGGCCUGAGAGGGUGACCGGUCACAUUGGGACUGAGAUACGGACCAGACUCCUACGGGAGGCAGCAGUGGGGAAUAUUGCACAAUGGGCGAAAGCCUGAUGCAGCGACGCGGCGUGAGGGAUGGAGGCCUUCGGGUUGUAAACCUCUUUCGCUCAUGGUCAAGCCGCAGCUUUGGGUUGUGGUGAGGGUAGUGGGUAAAGAAGCGCCGGCUAACUACGUG
rnacentral:rRNA from 1 species